rnacentral:lncRNA from 1 species
CUGGUAUAGUCAGGAGGGUAGAGACAAUAGACUGGAAUCAUACAGGACAGGAAGAGUAAGAGACUAUAGACUUGGUAUCAUCAGGAGAGAGGAGGGUAGAGACUCUAGACUGGUAGCAUCAGGAGGUUAGACUAUAAGAUGGUAAUCAUCUGAAAAGGAGAGUAAGACUAUAGACUGGUAUCAUCAGGAGAGUAGAGACUAUAGACGGUAUCAUCAGGAGAGUAGAGACUAUAGACUGGGUUAUCAUCAGGAGGGUAGAGACUAUAGACUGGUAUCAUCAGGAGGGUAGACUAUCGACUGGUAUCAUCAGGAGAGAGGAGAGUAGAGACUAUAGACUGGUAUCAUCAGGAGAGAGGAGGGUAGAGACUAUAGACUGGUAUCAUCAGGAGGGUAGAGACUAUAGACUGGUAUCAUCAGAGAGAGGAGGUAGAGACUAUAGACUGGUACAUCAGGAGGGUAGAGACUAUAGACUGGUAUCAUCAGGAG